CCUACGGGUGGCAGCAGUGAGGAAUAUUGGUCAAUGGCCGAGAGGCUGAACCAGCCAAGUCGCGUGAGGGAAGACGGCCCUACGGGUUGUAAACCUCUGUUGUCGGGGAGCAAAGCGAACCACGUGUGGUUCAUUGAGAGUACCCGAAGAAAAAGCAUCGGCUAACUCCGUGCCAGCAGCCGCGGUAAUACGGAGGAUGCGAGCGUUAUCUGGAUUUUUUGGGUUUAAAGGGUGCGCAGGCGGAGGUGCAAGUCAGCGGUAAAAUUGCGGGGCUCAACCCCGUACGGCCGUUGAUACUGCAUGCCUUGAGUGCGCGAGAAGUAUGCGGAAUGCGUGGUGUAGCGGUGAAAUGCGUAGAUAUCACGCAGAACUCCGAUUGCGAAGGCAGCAUACCGGCGCGCAACUGACGCUCAUGCACGAAGGCGUGGGUAUCGAACAGGAUUAGAUACCCGAGUAGUC
rnacentral:rRNA from 1 species